AACGAACGCUGGCGGCAUGCCUAACACAUGCAAGUCGAACGAGACCUCCGGGUCUAGUGGCGCACGGGUGCGUAACGCGUGGGAACCUGCCCUUCGGUUCGGAAUAACUCCCCGAAAGGGGUGCUAAUACCGAAUAAUGUCUUCGGACCAAAGAUUUAUCGCCUUUGGAUGGGCCCGCGUUGGAUUAGCUAGUUGGUAUGGUAAAAGCCUACCAAGGCGACGAUCCAUAGCUGGUCUGAGAGGAUGAGCAGCCACACUGGCACUGAGACACGGCCCAGACUCUUACGGAAGGCAGCAGUGGGUAAUAUUGGACAAUCGGCGAAGGGCUGAACGAGCUAUGCCGGGUAAGUGAUGAAGGCCUUAGGGUAGUAAAGCUCUUUUACACGGGAUGAUAAUGACAGUACCGGGAGAAUAAGCUCCGGCUAACUACGUG
rnacentral:rRNA from 1 species